GAUCAUGGCUCAGGAUGAACGCUAGCUACAGGCUUAACACAUGCAAGUCGAGGGGAAACGGCGUUGAGUGCUUGCACUCUUCGGACGUCGACCGGCGCACGGGUGAGUAACGCGUAUCCAACCUUCCCAUAACUAAGGGAUAACCUACCGAAAGGCAGACUAAUACCUUAUGUAAUUCUUAGAUGACAUCAGAAGAGAAUGAAAGAUUUAUCGGUUAUGGAUGGGGAUGCGUCUGAUUAG
rnacentral:rRNA from 1 species